GUGGGCUCGGCCGCGGGGACCCUCCUGGAGGGGCUCAACCUCCCCCAGACCCAGCAGAGGAUCCGCACGGCGUACGAGCAGGGAGCCACGGCCGUGGUCACCUACACCGGGAUCCUGACGGAUCAGCUCUACCACUGGUGGCAGGGCGAGCAGUGACCCCAAAACCGGGGUGAGGGACCCCAAAAUCGGGGUGAAGGACCCCAAAAUCGGGGUGAAGGACCCCAAAAUCGGGCUGAGUGACCCCAAAAACCCCAAUAAAGGCGAGCAGUGACCCCAAAACCGGGGUGAAGGACCCCAAAAUCGA